AGAGUUUGAUCAUGGCUCAGGAUGAACGCUGGCGGCGUGCUUAACACAUGCAAGUCGAACGAUGAUCUCCAGCUUGCUGGGGGGAUUAGUGGCGAACGGGUGAGUAACACGUGAGUAACCUGCCCUUAACUCUGGGAUAAGCCUGGGAAACUGGGUCUAAUACCGGAUAUGACUGACCGUCGCAUGGUGGUUGGUGGAAAGCUUUUUUGUGGUUUUGGAUGGACUCGCGGCCUAUCAGCUUGUUGGUGAGGUAAUGGCUUACCAAGGCGACGACGGGUAGCCGGCCUGAGAGGGUGACCGGCCACACUGGGACUGAGACACGGCCCAGACUCCUACGGGAGGCAGCAGUGGGGAAUAUUGCACAAUGGGCGCAAGCCUGAUGCAGCGACGCCGCGUGAGGGAUGACGGCCUUCGGGUUGUAAACCUCUUUCAGUAGGGAAGAAGCGAAAGUGACGGUACCUGCAGAAGAAGCGCCGGCUAACUACGUGCCAGCAGCCGCGGUAAUACGUAGGGCGCAAGCGUUAUCCGGAAUUAUUGGGCGUAAAGAGCUCGUAGGCGGUUUGUCGCGUCUGCCGUGAAAGUCCGGGGCUCAACUCCGGAUCUGCGGUGGGUACGGGCAGACUAGAGUGAUGUAGGGGAGACUGGAAUUCCUGGUGUAGCGGUGAAAUGCGCAGAUAUCAGGAGGAACACCGAUGGCGAAGGCAGGUCUCUGGGCAUUAACUGACGCUGAGGAGCGAAAGCAUGGGGAGCGAACAGGAUUAGAUACCCCAGUAGUCC
rnacentral:rRNA from 1 species